rnacentral:rRNA from 1 species
CAAGUCGAACGAGAAAGUCCCCUUCGGGGGAUAAGUAAAGUGGCGUCCGGGUGAGUAACACGUAGGUAAUCUACCUUCGGGUGGGGAAUAACCCAGGGAAACUUGGGCUAACACCGCAUAAUGCAGCGGCACCACAUGGUGACAGUUGUUAAAGCGGGGGAUUUUAGGACCUCGCGCCUGAAGAGGAGCCUGCGGCGGAUUAGCUAGUUGGUAAGGUAACGGCUUACCAAGGCAACGAUCCGUAGCCGGCCUGAGAGGGCGGUCGGCCACACUGACACUGACAUACGGGUCAGACUCCUACGGGAGGCAGCAGUCGGGAAUUUUGGGCAAUGGGCGAAAGCCUGACCCAGCAACGCCGCGUGAAGGAUGAAAUCCCUCGGGAUGUAAACUUCGCAAGAAUGGGAAGAAUUAGCGAGCGCUAAUACCGCUCGUGAUGACGGUACCAUUUGUAAGCUCCGGCUAACUCCGUGCCAGCAGCCGCGGUAAUACGGGGGGAGCAAGCGUUGUUCGGAUUUACUGGGCGUAAAGGGCGCGUAGGCGGUCAGCACAAGUCAGUUGUGAAAUCUCCGGGCUUAACUCGGAAAGGUCAACUGAUACUGUGCGACUAGAGUGCGGAAGGGGCAACUGGAAUUCUCGGUGUAGCGGUGAAAUGCGUAGAUAUCGAGAGGAACACCUGCCGGCGAANGCGGGUUGCUGGGCCGACACUGACGCUGAGGCGCGAAAGCCAGGGGAGCGAACGGGAUUAGAUACCCCGGUAGUCCUGGCCUUAAACGAUGGAUGCUUGGUGUCCUGGGGUUUUAUAGUCCCCGGGUGCCGUAGCUAACGCGUUAAGCAUCCCGCCUGGGGGAGUACGGUCGCAAGACUGAAACUCAAAGGAAUUGACGGGGACC